GACGAACGCUGGCGGCGUGCUUAACACAUGCAAGUCGAACGAUGAAGAAAAGAGUCGAAGCUUCGGCAGAUAUUCAUUUCGGAUUAGUGGCAGACGGGUUAGUAACGCGUGAGCAACCUACCUCUUACAAAGGGAUAGCCUCGGUAAACCGGGAUUAAUACCAUCUCACAUUUUGACGAAGCAUUUCGAUGCAAUUAACGCUACGACGGGAAGCGAUGGGCUCGCGUCCCAUUAAACGGAUGGCGAGGUAACGGCACACCAGAGGGACGACGGGCAACCGGGAAGAGAGAGAGAACGCUCACACUGGAACUGAGACACGGUAGAGAAUCUUACGGGAGGGAGCAGUGGGGAAUAGUGCAAAACGGAGUGAACUCUGAUGCAGUGACGACGGGUAAAUGAUGAAAGAAGUCGUUUCGUAAAACGCUAUUCUAUAGGAAGAAAAGGACGGUACCAUAGGAGAAAGCCACGGCUAAAUACGUG
rnacentral:rRNA from 1 species